GUAAGGCUGACUACUCUACUGUAAUACACCAUACAGUAAGACUUGCUACUCUACUGUAAUACACCAUACAGUAAGGCUGGCUACUCUACUGUAAUACACCAUACAGUAAGACUUGCUACUCUACUAUAAUACACCAUACAGUAAGACUGGCUACUCUACUGUAAUACACCAUACAGUAAGACUGGCUACUCUACUGUAAACACACAGUCCAGUUCAUAGUGAAUGAUGGCAGGCCCUACUGCCUGUAAACACACAGUCCAGUUCAUAGUGAAUGAUGACAGGUCCUACUGCCUGUAAACACACAGUCCAGUUCAUAGUGAAUGAUGGCAGGUCCUACUGCCUGUAAACACACAGUCCAGUUCAUAGUGAAUGAUGGCAGGUCCUACUGCCUGUAAACACAGUCCAGUUCAUAGUGAAUUAUGACAGGCCCUACUGCCUGUAAACACACAGUCCAGUUCAUAGUGAAUUAUGACAGGCCCUACUGCCUGUAAACACACAGUCCAGUUCAUAGUGAAUGAUGGCAGGUCCUACUGCCUGUAAACACACAGUCCAGUUCAUAGUGAAUGAUGGCAGGUCCUACUGCCUGUAAACACACAGUCCAGUUCAUAGUGAAUGAUAACAGGUCCUACUGCCUGUAAACACAGUCCAGUUCAUAGUGAAUGAUGACAGGUCCUACUGUAAACACACAGUCCAGUUCAUAGUGAAUGAUGGCAGGUCCUACUGUAAACACACAGUCCAGUUCAUAGUGAAUGAUGGCAGGUCCUACUGCCUGUAAACACACAGUCCAGUUCAUAGUGAAUGAUGACAGGCUUGUGUGGCAUAUGGCUAAUUUGCAUAUAGACCUACUGUAGCUCUGAUUGGCUAUGAACCACCGGUCUGCAGUAGACUCCGGUCCUGGACGAGACAGAUAUUUUUAUUAAGGUUUAUUUACUGCAGUGUCUUAAUUGUCCAAACGCACGACCACUUUCUCACUCUACAUUCACAAAACCUUACUCUACGUCAUUCCCAAACACUCUAUGAAUUUAUGAAAAGGUUAAAAUGACCAUAUCUAAGUGCUCGCUUGACAGAAAAUAUUAAAAACAGGUGUCGUAGUCUUCCUGGGGUUGUACACGAACACAUUUUAAUAAGAUUUCAUGUAGGAGAGAAG
rnacentral:lncRNA from 1 species